GGCUUUUAAACAACGUGUCUUUUCCAGAUUCUUGGAAGAAACUGAUUUUGACCAAUUCAUCAAAGGAGCCGACUACAAAAUAUGAUUCUUCCCUUGAACUGGUGUCUAUGGAGGUGUCUGCCCUGCCCCAGGAACCGUGUGAAGACACAAAGGCACAGGGACUUCCUGACAAGGGGCCAGGCAACAUCAACCUGAGCAGAGCCGCAUUGGGGAACAGAGUUUCUUCACUGGACACAACAUAACUGAGGACCUACUGUGUGCCAGGAAGAGGACUGCAAGCUGCC
rnacentral:lncRNA from 1 species